ensembl:lncRNA
UUCUGGCUAGGGGUCUCCGCCUAUUGGCUGAACGAUCUGUCAUUGGCAGCGGUCCAUAUUUUCGGCCGGGACAGUAGCACGGCCAGCAGCAGCGAAAGUGAGAAAUAACUCCGUGAACUGGGAUAAUUUGACCGCGAGGACUGAUGAGCGAACAAAAACACAUAUGAAGGGCAGCAGGAUGAAUGUGGAGACUCUCAGUAAAGCUGAACUUCUGAUGCUGCUCAGCAUUCUGGAAGGAGAACUGGAAGCACAAGAUGUAGUCAUACACACACUCAGGGUAAGAGCACACACAUAUGCAUGCAUUUAUAGCUGUGUCAAGAAUAUCUAAAGUAAAGUUUGGCAAGAAAAAAAAAAUGAAAAAGUAAUGUUUAAAAUGCUUUUAGAUGCUUUAAGAUUGACAGACAGAAAGUCAAAGUCAGAAAGACCAAAGAAAACGUUAUGCAUGCAAUUCUUGCAAUAUUACACAACUUCAAACCACAUUAGAUUUUAGUAGACUCCUAAGAAACCAACAGAGAACAAGUAAAAAAAAGCCUUAUAUUUUAAAACUUUAUACAUGCAAUACAUGUUACAACAUACAACACACACCCAAGUCAGAAAGACCAGUGAAAACUUUACACAUGCAAUAUAACACAACUUCAAACCACAUUAGACCUUAGACCCCCACAGUAUACCCCUAAGAAACCAAGCACAACAACAGGCAAUGUCAGACACUCAUCAGACCCUAUGAAACCACAUUAAAAUCCUGUUAGAUGAUAAAGAAACUGCUAAAAGUUCUGUUUAUUGUUGACCAUUAUCGGUAACAUUAUUAACGUUACUGGGUGAUGCUAGCAUAAUGUAAGGCAUGUUGUCUUCUCUAGCCAGUUGUCUUAUAAACAUGACAUUGCAUAUUACUAUUAUUGUUUGCCCUUUGACAAAUUACUUUUGGUCCUCUUUUGGAUAAAAGUGUCUGUUAAAUGCAAAAAUGUAAAAUAUUAUUGCUGCUUAGUGUUGUUUUAACUAGCAUGUUGAUAGCACAUUUUUGCAUUGUAUUAGGUAUUGCUAACACAUUUGAGCACAUUGUUAUCAUGUUUUAACUUGUUUCUAGCUUGGUUUAGAAUGUUUUAGCAUGUUGCCAAAGCUUGUGGCCAAACAAGUUUCCUUUGCACUUACCCUGCCUACAAACCAAAAACUCUGCCCUAAACUCGUUAAUGUAGCUGCAUGGGGCUAGUUGAGAGCGAGGUAUUAUAGAACAACAAGUGUUUUGGGGAAACAACCUAUAGACUAGUUGUAGGCUUACUUGUAGUUGUGUCUGCAUAUUAAGCUGGGUUAGAAGAAAUUAUUGCACUGAA